rnacentral:rRNA from 1 species
AUUGAACGCUGGCGGCAGGCUUAACACAUGCAAGUCGAACGGUAACAGGAAGAAAGCUUGCUUUCUUUGCUGACGAGUGGCGGACGGGUGAGUAAUGCUUGGGAAUCUGCCUUAUGGAGGGGGAUAACUACGGGAAACUGUAGCUAAUACCGCGUAAUGUCUACGGACUAAAGUAUGGGAUCUUCGGACCAUAUGCCAUAAGAUGAGCCCAAGUGAGAUUAGGUAGUUGGUGAGGUAAAGGCUCACCAAGCUGACGAUCUCUAGCUGGUUUGAGAGGAUGACCAGCCACACUGGAACUGAGACACGGUCCAGACUCCUACGGGAGGCAGCAGUGGGGAAUAUUGCACAAUGGGCGCAAGCCUGAUGCAGCCAUGCCGCGUGAAUGAAGAAGGCUUUCGGGUUGUAAAGUUCUUUCAGCGAUGAGGAAGGUUGUGUAUCUAAUAGGUAUGCAAAUUGACGUUAGUCGCAGAAGAAGCACCGGCUAACUCCGUGCCAGCAGCCGCGGUAAUACGGAGGGUGCGAGCGUUAAUCGGAAUAACUGGGCGUAAAGGGCACGCAGGCGGUUGUCUAAGUCAGAUGUGAAAGCCCCGAGCUUAACUUGGGAAUUGCAUUUGAGACUGGGCGACUAGAGUCCUCUAGGGAGGGGUAGAAUUCCACGUGUAGCGGUGAAAUGCGUAGAGAUGUGGAGGAAUACCGAAGGCGAAGGCAGCCCCUUGGAGAGAGACUGACGCUGAGGUGCGAAAGCGUGGGGUAGCAAACAGG